rnacentral:rRNA from 1 species
GGUUAAUUCGACGCAACGCGAAGAACCUUACCUAGGCUUGACAGUCUGGGGAAUCCAUGGAAACAUGGGAGUGCGGAGCAAUCCGAGCCCAAGACAGGUGCUGCAUGGCUGUCGUCAGCUCGUGUCGUGAGAUGUUGGGUUAAGUCCCGCAACGAGCGCAACCCUUGUCUCUAGUUGCCAUCAUUCAGUUGGGCUACUCUAGAGAGACUGCCGGUGAUAAACCGGAGGAAGUGGGAUGACGUCAAAUCAUCAUGCCCCUUAUGACCUGGGCUACACACGUGCUACAAUGGUUGGUACAACGAGUUGCGAGUCGGUGACGGCGAGCUAAUCUCUUAAAGCCAAUCUCAGUUCGGAUUGUAGGCUGCAACUCGCCUACAUGAAGUCGGAAUCGCUAGUAAUCGCGGAUCAGCACGCCGCGGUGAAUACGUUCCCGGGCCUU